UACGGGGGGAGCGAGCGUUGUUCGGAAUCACUGGGCGUAAAGGGAGUCUAGGCGGUUGCCCAAGUCGGGUGUGAAAGCCUUGAGCUCAACUCAAGAAAUGCACUCGGUACUGGGUGACUAGAGGACCGGAGAGGAUAGUGGAAUUCCCAGUGUAGUGGUGAAAUACGUAGAGAUUGGGAAGAACACCAGUGGCGAAGGCGGCUAUCUGGACGGUUUCUGACGCUAAGACGCGAAAGCGUGGGGAGCAAACAGG
rnacentral:rRNA from 1 species